CAGACUAUAGUUUAUUAAUCAAAACAUGAAUUUUGGAUAUUCAAAAAUAUAUAAGUCUGA
rnacentral:tRNA from 1 species